rnacentral:tRNA from 1 species
GCUCUUCUAGCUCAGUGGUUAGAGCAGUGGUCUAGUAGACCAGGGGUUGAGAGUUCAAUACUCUCUGGGGGCA